rnacentral:rRNA from 1 species
UACGUAGGGGGCAAGCGUUAUCCGGAUUUACUGGGCGUAAAGCGCCCGUAGGCGGCCUGUCAAGUUGGACGUGAAAGCUCCCGGCUCAACUGGGAGAGGUCCUUGGAUACUGGCAGACUUGAGGAGGGUAGAGGAGAGUGGAAUUCCCGGUGUAGUGGUGAAAUGCGCAGAUAUCAGGAGGAACACCGGUGGCGAAGGCGGUUCUCUGGGCAUGAUCUGACGCUGAGGAGCGAAAGUGUGGGGAGCGAACAGG